rnacentral:tRNA from 1 species
GGUUCAUACCCCAAAUAUAAAGGAAACCCCUUUUUUUUAAA